rnacentral:tRNA from 1 species
AUUUAUUUAAUAUAAUCAGUAUAUUUGACUUCCAAUCAAAAUGUCUGAGUUAACUCAGAAUAAAUA